rnacentral:rRNA from 1 species
AUUGAACGCUGGCGGCAGGCCUAACACAUGCAAGUCGAGCGGGAACUUCGGUUCUAGCGGCGGACGGGUGAGUAAUGCGUAGGAAGCUACCCGACAGAGGGGGAUACCAGUUGGAGACGACUGUUAAUACCGCAUAAUGUCUACGGACCAAAGUGUGGGACCUUCGGGCCACAUGCUGUCGGAUGCGCCUACGUGGGAUUAGCUAGUUGGUGAGGUAACGGCUCACCAAGGCGACGAUCCCUAGCUGGUUUGAGAGGAUGAUCAGCCACACUGGGACUGAGACACGGUCCAGACUCCUGCGGGAGGCAGCAGUGGGGAAUAUUGGACAAUGGGCGAAAGCCUGAUCCAGCCAUGCCGCGUGUGUGAAGAAGGCCUUCGGGUUGUAAAGCACUUUCAGUAGGGAGGAAGAGUUGAGUGUUAAUAGUACUCAGCUUUGACGUUACCUACAGAAGAAGCACCGGCUAACUCUGUGCCAGCCGCCGCCGUAACAC